GAUGAACGCUGGCGGCGUGCCUAAUACAUGCAAGUCGAGCGAACAGACGCGGAGCUUGCUCCUCUGACGUUAGCGGCGGACGGGUGAGUAACACGUGGAUAACCUACCUAUAAGACUGGGAUCACUUCGAGACACCGGAGCUAAUACCGGAUAAUAUAUUGAACCGCAUGGUUCAAUAGUGAAAGACGGCUUUGCUGUCACUUAUAGCUGGAUCCGCGCCGCAUUAGCUAGUUGGUACGGUAACGGCUUACCAGGGCGACGAUGCGUAGCCGACGUGAGAGGGGGUAGGGCGACACAGAAGGUGAGACGCGACCCAGGCUCCGACGUGAGGCAGAGGCAGGGAAGCUUGGGCAAUGGGCGAAAGCCUGCCGGAGCAACGCAGCGUGAGUGAUGAAGGGCUGCGGGUCGUAAAACGCUGUUAGUAGGGAAGAACAAAUGUGUAAGUAACGAUGCGCGUCUUGACGGUACCGAAUCAGAAGGCCACGGCUAACUACGU
rnacentral:rRNA from 1 species